AGGGGUUAAAAAAAAAGGAAAUAAAAAUGCCCCGGGUGCGAUGUUUGCUUCCAGAUGUGUAUGAUGAUGUAAGGUCUGGACUCGGUUUACCUGGUCAGGGCAGAACCGCAGGCGGGUUAAUCAGUUUCCUAUGUUCAGAAAGAAGUUCAUGCACAAUCAGCUAAUCAUCAGAAGGACCAAAUAAUAGAUGAAGCCAGUUGAUACCCAAUAGAAGACUGGAUUUACUGAAACAAAUGCUUACUGUUUCUCAGAAUUAGUAGAUUUUUCCACAUGAAAGGCAGCAGUAGCAACCAAACAACUACUUCAGUCUGACUUAGUAGCUACAUAAAUAAAGCUGAAG